rnacentral:rRNA from 1 species
UACGGGGGGGGCAAGCGUUGUUCGGAAUUACUGGGCGUAAAGGGCUCGUAGGCGGCCAACUAAGUCCGACGUGAAAUCCCAAGGCUUAACCUUGGAACUGCGUCGGAUACUGGAUGGCUUGAAUUCGGGAGAGGGAUGCAGAAUUCCAGGUGUAGCGGUGAAAUGCGUAGAUAUCUGGAGGAACACCGGUGGCGAAGGCGGCAUCCUGGACCAACACUGACGCUGAGGGAGCGAAAGCCAGGGGAGCAAACGGG